rnacentral:lncRNA from 13 species
GAAUUGGCUGCCGACACACAUGCUAAAUAUUUUUUUUUUUUUUUUCCCCUCCAGAUAGUCUGCAAUUCCAAACAGCACUGCAGACUUCUCCAAGCCCGGAGUCAGUCUUUCCUAGCUGGACAGCUAAGAUGGGACCCAUGCCAGGAAAAUCUACAGGGAACUAGAGAAGGCAGCAUUCAACUGAAGAGAAUACAUGAAUACAGUCCACUGGGCACCAUCUUGGAUGAAGAGCAGCUGACCAACGGCGAGACUGUGGUUAAUAACACAAAGUACAGUUCUGACAUCUUACUCUCUAACCAGAUCCAAUGCUUCCUGAGGGCAGGAAGCUUAUGCUUUGAAUACUUUCACUUUUCAUAGGACUGAGCACCAAGUAGGCACUGAAAAUGUCUUUGUUGAUUGAUGAGAAUUCCAGAAACCCAAACCAUAACAAAGUAGUAUGGUGUUUUCAUUAUCCAUUGCUGUACCACAAAUUAUUCCCAAACUGAGCAACUGGAAACAACACUUGAAUUAUCUAUAAUACACUUGUAUCUCUAAGGGUCAGAAGUGCAGACAUGGGUUGGCUGGAUCCCGGCACUCAGGGCCUCUGCAAAUGCUGUGGAUCUCCCUCAGUCCCUUGCCGCUUGGGCCUUUCCAUAUGGCAGAUCAUGA